rnacentral:rRNA from 1 species
UAUUUCAUGGAGAGUUUGAUCCUGGCUCAGGACGAACGCUGGCGGCGUGCCUAAUACAUGCAAGUCGAGC